rnacentral:rRNA from 1 species
UACAGAGGUCCCGAGCGUUGUUCGGAUUUAUUGGGCGUAAAGGGUGCGUAGGCGGCGGAGUAAGUUGGGUGUGAAAUCCCGGGGCUUAACCUCGGAAUUGCAUUCAAUACUGCUUCGCUUGAGUACUGGAGAGGAGGCUGGAAUUACGGUGUAGCAGUGAAAUGCGUAGAUAUCGUAAGGAAGGCCGGUGGCGAAAGCGAGCCUCUGGACAGUUACUGACGCUGAUGCACGAAGGCCAGGGGAGCAAACGGG